rnacentral:lncRNA from 1 species
UUGAGCGAGAAACCAUGUCGGAGAGGCUGAAAGAACACUCAGGAAUUUAAGGGUCAAAACAAGUCCAUUACAAUCCAGAGUACAAGAUAUCGAGAUUUGAACUAGAAACCAUGCCGAGAACAAAGUUGUAAUGUUCCGGCAUGAUCCAGUUUCACAAUGAGAGACAAAUAAGCAAAGGAAGUGAAAAUGCAGAAAUAGAAGUCACUGUUUAUGAUUAUUUUGCACAUCAUCAUAGUAUGGUCAACCG